GCCUCUAGCGAGUAGGAAGCGCGUCAGUUCAUAAAUCACUCCAGCGAGUUAUCUGAAGGUCGUGAGUUCGAUCCUCACCGAGGCA